rnacentral:rRNA from 1 species
UGCUUACACAUGCAAGUCGAACGGGACUGCUAUGAAGGAGUUUUCGGACAACGGAUUAGUAGUUUAGUGGCGGACUGGUGAGUAACGCGUGAGGAACCUGCCUUUCAGAGGGGGACAACAGCUGGAAACGGCUGCUAAUACCGCAUGAUAUAUUUGAGUGGCAUCACUCGGAUAUCAAAGAUUUAUCGCUGAAAGAUGGCCUCGCGUCUGAUUAGCUAGUUGGUGAGGUAACGGCCCACCAAGGCGACGAUCAGUAGCCGGACUGAGAGGUUGACCGGCCACAUUGGGACUGAGAUACGGCCCAGACUCCUACGGGAGGCAGCAGUGGGGAAUAUUGGGCAAUGGGCGAAAGCCUGACCCAGCAACGCCGCGUGAAGGAAGAAGGCUUUCGGGUUGUAAACUUCUUUGACAGGGGAAGAGUAGAAGACGGUACCCUGAAAACAAGCCACGGCUAACUACGUGCCAGCAGCCGCGGUAAUACGUAGGUGGCAAGCGUUGUCCGGAUUUACUGGGUGUAAAGGGCGUGCAGCCGGGAAGGCAAGUCAGAUGUGAAAUCCGUGGGCUUAACCCACGAACUGCAUUUGAAACUGCUUUUCUUGAGUAUCGGAGAGGUAAUCGGAAUUCCUAGUGUAGCGGUGAAAUGCGUAGAUAUUAGGAAGAACACCAGUGGCGAAGGCGGAUUACUGGACGAC